UGGAGAUGGCGAGGAGGCUUGCAGCGCAGUGGUUUUACUCUCGUCUGCGUAUGACUUUCCCUUCUGUUUUCCUUUUGUUUCUGUGAUGAUGAAGGUGACGGCUUUCUAUUUGGGUUCUUCUUUUUUCUGAUUUACAGGAGGCGAUCAAGAAGACGGUGACGUUAACGUUGGUCUUCUGGGUUUUCUGCUUGCGUUUGUCUCUGUUUUU
rnacentral:lncRNA from 1 species